rnacentral:rRNA from 1 species
UACAGAGGGGGCAAGCGUUGUUCGGAAUUACUGGGCGUAAAGGGCGCGUAGGCGGCCCGCUAAGUCGAACGUGAAAUCCCCAGGCUCAACCUGGGAACUGCGUCCGAUACUGGCAGGCUUGAAUCCGGGAGAGGGAUGUGGAAUUCCAGGUGUAGCGGUGAAAUGCGUAGAUAUCUGGAGGAACACCGGUGGCGAAGGCGGCAUCCUGGACCGGCAUUGACGCUGAGGAGCGAAAGCCAGGGGAGCAAACGGG